rnacentral:rRNA from 1 species
GAGUGGCGAACGGGUGAGUAAUAUAUCGGAACGUACCAUUCAGUGGGGGAUAACGUAGCGAAAGUUACGCUAAUACCGCAUAUUCUGUGAGCAGGAAGCAGGGGAUCGCAAGACCUUGCGCUGAUUGAGCGGCCGAUAUCAGAUUAGCUUGUUGGUGAGGUAAAAGCUCACCAAGGCGACGAUCUGUAGCGGGUCUGAGAGGAUGAUCCGCCACACUGGAACUGAGACACGGUCCAGACUCCUACGGGAGGCAGCAGUGGGGAAUUUUGGACAAUGGGGGCAACCCUGAUCCAGCCAUGCCGCGUGAGUGAAGAAGGCCUUCGGGUUGUAAAGCUCUUUCAGCCGGGAAGAAAACGCAUGGGUUAAUACCCUGUGUGGAUGACGGUACCGGAAUAAGAAGCACCGGCUAACUACGUGCCAGCAGCCGCGGUAAUACGUAGGGUGCGAGCGUUAAUCGGAAUUACUGGGCGUAAAGCGUGCGCAGGCGGUUUUGUAAGACAGGCGUGAAAUCCCCGGGCUUAACCUGGGAACUGCGUUUGUGACUGCAAGGCUAGAGUACGGCAGAGGGGGGUGGAAUUCCACGUGUAGCAGUGAAAUGCGUAGAGAUGUGGAGGAACACCAAUGGCGAAGGCAGCCCCCUGGGUCGAUACUGACGCUCAUGCACGAAAGCGUGGGUAGCAAACAGGAUUAGAUACCCUGGUAGUCCACGCCCUAAACGAUGUCAACUAGGUGUUGGGAGGGUAAAACCUUUUAGUACCGGAGCUAACGCGUGAAGUUGACCGCCUGGGGAGUACGGCCGCAAGGUUAAAACUCAAAGGAAUUGACGGGGACCCGCACAAGCGGUGGAUGAUGUGGAUUAAUUCGAUGCAACGCGAAAAACCUUACCUACCCUUGACAUGCCAAGAACUUUCCAGAGAUGGAUGGUGCCCGAAAGGGAACUUGGACACAGGUGCUGCAUGGCUGUCGUCAGCUCGUGUCGUGAGAUGUUGGGUUAAGUCCCGCAACGAGCGCAACCCUUGUCGUUAAUUGCCAUCAUUUAGUUGGGCACUUUAACGAGACUGCCGGUGACAAACCGGAGGAAGGUGGGGAUGACGUCAAGUCCUCAUGGCCCUUAUGGGUAGGGCUUCACACGUCAUACAAUGGUCGGUACAAAGGGUCGCCAAGCCGCGAGGUGGAGCCAAUCCCAGAAAGCCGAUCGUAGUCCGGAUCGCAGUCUGCAACUCGACUGCGUGAAGUCGGAAUCGCUAGUAAUCGUGGAUCAGAAUGUCACGGUGAAUACGUUCCCGGGUCUUGUACACACCGCCCGUCACACCAUGGGAGCGGGUUCCGCCAGAAGUAGGUAGCCUAACCGCAAGGAGGGCGCUUACCACGGCGGGGUUCGUGACUGGGGUGAAGUCGAAACAAGGUA